rnacentral:rRNA from 1 species
GAUGAACGCUGGCGGCGUGCCUAACACAUGCAAGUCGAGCGAACAGACGAGGAGCUUGCUCCUCUGACGUUAGCGGCGGACGGGUGAGUAACACGUGGAUAACCUACCUAUAAGACUGGGAUAACUUCGGGAAACCGGAGCUAAUACCGGAUAAUAUAUUGAACCGCAUGGUUCAAUAGUGAAAGACGGUUUUGCUGUCACUUAUAGAUGGAUCCGCGCCGCAUUAGCUAGUUGGUAAGGUAACGGCUUACCAAGGCAACGAUGCGUAGCCGACCUGAGAGGGUGAUCGGCCACCCUGGAACUGAGACACGGUCCAGGCUCCUACGGGAGGCAGCAGUAGGGAAUCUGCCGCAAUGGGCGAAAGCCUGACGGAGCAACGCCGCGUGAGUGAUGAAGGUCUUCGGAUCGGAAAGCUCUGUUAUUAGGGAAGAACAAAUGUGUAAGUAACUAUGCACGUAUUGACGGUACCUAAUCAGAAAGCCACGGCUAACUACGUG